GUUUGCUGUCAGAGAGAAAAGCAGCAGCAUCAUCCUACACUGGGAAAGGUUGAAUAGCUCCUGUACAAUGCUCGUCAUCACAGAGGGAGUAAAGCCGAUGGAGCGUUACGCUGUUUCUGUCAGAGCGCUGUAUGGUGAGCGAGUGGCAGGGAAGAAUGGGACACUUCAUAUUUAUACACGACAAGGAGCGCCCUCAGCUGGUCCUACUGUGACGGUGCAGGAGAUCUCUGGCGGGAGAGUGGAG